rnacentral:miRNA from 1 species
AAAUAUUAGGCUGGUGCAUAAGUAUUGAGGUUUUUGCUAUUGAAAGUCAUGGCAAAACCUGCAAUUACUUUUGCACCAACCUAAUAAUACAUAAU